rnacentral:rRNA from 1 species
AAUCUCUGAACCUGCGGACGGCUCCAUAGAACAGUCACAACCAUUGGCAAGUGUUGCCCAUUGGUGGGUAUCUUUCCGAUCAUACUCGCGGAAUGGGGAUAUGGACUUCCCCGGCAAUUCUGAGGCUAAUACAUGAAUGUAACCUGGUUGAAGGGGGUAUAUAUCCGAAACUUCCAGGUGGAGCGUGAGGUAUGAUCCGGUGAGAUAACACGAAUGGGCACGCUACCGUUACCUAGUUCAGGCCCUAAUACGACCGGGACAAGUUGAGGAGACGAAGCUAUUGACACUUCCCUGGCUCCUGCUGGGGAGGUCUGUCAGGGUCUAGUCGAAUCAGCGGGUCACAGCUCGGGAUUCUGACCUAUCAACUAGAAUGUGAUGUAACGGCUUGCCAUGGUUGCGACGGGUACAGAGGAUAAGAGUUCGGUCCUGGAGAGUGGGCCUGAGAGAUU